AUUUAUCAAGAGUAACAAUUUGAACAGUGUUUGUUCUGUAUGGUGUGUAGCAAGGGAAGGGUUAGGUGAGAAUUUUAAUUUGGGUUAGUGAUGGGAGGCACAGGAGCAGAGGGCCACAAGGAACAAAGUGAUGAUUCAUAGGACUCCCACGGGUGUGUGGGUUGUCCUCCAAAGUCACUCCAGUAGCAGCAAUUGGUAAUUAUAGGGUUUGAAAGGUUGAGAAAGAAAA
rnacentral:misc_RNA from 1 species